UCGCCAUGUUUUGAAUUCUCGAUUUUGUUUUACUCUUGCAUUGCAACAACUAUUUUGUGCAAUUGUAAUAUUAUAUUAUAUUAUACUGAAGGGAGAUUAAUUUGUCACAUGAACUUGCCUGUUCGACAAUGGGAGGUGCAGAAUCGGCACACAAUCGUGACAAUCAUCAAUCCAAACGGCCUUGGAGUGAAAGUACGUGAUUGUUUUGUGUCAGGUCGGCAGUAUUUUGGCGACGAGUGCCGAAACGAAACGGUCAAUUGCGUAUCAUCACGGACCUGAAGGAUAAUCAAAACAAGUGGAACAAGCUGAGCAAUUUGAUUUGGUGUGUGCACCGGAAAAUUGGCUGUAUGUGAUUCUCUCAGAAACAAGGCACGCAAGACAGAAUAAAUCAGAGUGCAUACUGUAAAGAUGCGCAAUUAUAUCAGCAAAUGAA